rnacentral:rRNA from 1 species
GACGAACGCUGGCGGCGUGCUUAACACAUGCAAGUCGAACGGAAAGGCCCUGCUUUUGUGGGGUGCUCGAGUGGCGAACGGGUGAGUAACACGUGAGUAGCCUGCCCUUGACUUUGGGAUAACUUCAGGAAACUGGGGCUAAUACCGGAUAGGAGCUCCUGCUGCAUGGUGGGGGUUGGAAAGUUUCGGCGGUUGGGGAUGGACUCGCGGCUUAUCAGCUUGUUGGUGGGGUAGUGGCUUACCAAGGCUUUGACGGGUAGCCGGCCUGAGAGGGUGACCGGCCACAUUGGGACUGAGAUACGGCCCAGACUCCUACGGGAGGCAGCAGUGGAGAAUAUUGCACAAUGGGCGGAAGCCUGAUGCAGCAACGCCGCGUGCGGGAUGACGGCCUUCGGGUUGUAAACCGCUUUCGCCUGUGACGAAGCGUGAGUGACGGUAAUGGGUAAAGAAGCACCGGCUAACUACGUG